UUCUCUGUACUCCUUAGAAGUUGCUGCUUGUGGCAGGACAGUCCGUGCCUGUAAUCCCAGCACUCAGGAGGCUGAGGCAGGAGGAU
ensembl:miRNA